CACUUCCUACGGGGGGCAGCAGUGAGGAAUAUUGGUCAAUGGGCGGGAGCCUGAACCAGCCAAGUCGCGUGAGGGAUGACGGCCCUAUGGGUUGUAAACCUCUUUUGUCAGGGAGCAAUUGGCGCUACGUGUAGCGUUAUCGAGAGUACCUGAAGAAAAAGCAUCGGCUAACUCCGUGCCAGCAGCCGCGGUAAUACGGAGGAUGCGAGCGUUAUCCGGAUUUAUUGGGUUUAAAGGGUACGUAGGCGGAAUGCCAAGUCAGCGGUAAAAUCGCGGGGCUCAACCUCGCUCCGCCGUUGAAACUG
rnacentral:rRNA from 1 species